GACGAACGCUGGCGGCAUGCCUAAUACAUGCAAGUCGAACGCCAAAUCUUCCUGCUUGCAGGAAGAGGCGGAGUGGCGAACGGGUGAGUAACACGUGAGGAACUUGCCCAUAAGAGGGGGAUAACACCCGGAAACGGGUGCUAAUACCGCAUAAGUUUUCCCAGUGCAUGCUGGGAAAAUGAAAGGUGGCUCUGCUACCGCUUAUGGAUAGCCUCGCGGCGCAUUAGCUAGUUGGUAGGGUAAAGGCCUACCAAGGCCAUGAUGCGUAGCCGACUUGAGAGGGUGAUCGGCCACACUGGAACUGAGACACGGUCCAGACUCCUACGGGAGGCAGCAGUAGGGAAUCUUCCACAAUGGGUGCAAGCCUGAUGGAGCAAUGCCGCGUGAGUGAAGAAGGACUUCGGUUCGUAAGGCUCUGUUGUUGGGGAGGAACACGGAUAGGAGUCACUGCCUAUCCCUUGACGGUACCCAACCAGAAAGUCACGGCUAACUACGUGCCAGCAGCCGCGGUAAUACGUAGGUGACAAGCGUUGUCCGGAUUUAUUGGGCGUAAAGCGAGCGCAGGCGGUCCGGUAAGUCUGAUGUGAAAGCCCACGGCUCAACCGUGGAACGGCAUUGAAAACUGGCGGACUUGAAUGUAGCAGAGAAAAGUGGAAUUCCAUGUGUAGCGGUGGAAUGCGUAGAUAUAUGGAGGAACACCAGUGGCGAAAGCGACUUUCUGGGGCUAUGAUUGACGCUGAGGCUCGAAAGCGUGGGGAGCGAACAGGAUUAGAUACCCUGGUAGUCCACGCCGUAAACGAUGAGUGCUAAGUGUUGGAGGGUUUCCGCCCUUCAGUGCUGGAGUUAACGCAUUAAGCACUCCGCCUGGGGAUUACGACCGCAAGGUUGAAACUCAAAAGAAUUGACGGGGACCCGCACAAGCGGUGGAGCAUGUGGUUUAAUUCGAAGCAACGCGAAGAACCUUACCAGCUCUUGACAUCUUCUGCCACCUUCAGAGAUGAAAGGUUCCCUUCGGGGACAGAAUGACAGGUGGUGCAUGGUUGUCGUCAACUCGUGUCGUGAGAUGUUGGGUUAAGUCCCGUAACGAGCGCAACCCUUAUUGUUAGUUGCCAGCAUUGAGUUGGGCACUCUAGCAAGACUGCCGGUGAUAAACCGGAGGAAGGCGGGGAUGACGUCAAAUCAUCAUGCCCCUUAUGAGCUGGGCUACACACGUGCUACAAUGGAUGGUACAACGAGUGGCGAGACCGCGAGGUUUAGCUAAUCUCCCAAAGCCAUUCUCAGUUCGGAUUGCAGGCUGCAACUCGCCUGCAUGAAGUCGGAAUCGCUAGUAAUCGCGGAUCAGAAUGCCGCGGUGAAUUCGUUCCCGGGUCU
rnacentral:rRNA from 1 species